rnacentral:rRNA from 1 species
AGUCGAACGAUGAAGCCCUUCGGGGUGGAUUAGUGGCGAACGGGUGAGUAACACGUGGGCAAUCUGCCCUGCACUCUGGGACAAGCCCUGGAAACGGGGUCUAAUACCGGAUACGACCAUCUUGGGCAUCUUUGAUGGUGGAAAGCUCCGGCGGUGCAGGAUGAGCCCGCGGCCUAUCAGCUUGUUGGUGAGGUAACGGCUCACCAAGGCGACGACGGGUAGCCGGCCUGAGAGGGCGACCGGCCACACUGGGACUGAGACACGGCCCAGACUCCUACGGGAGGCAGCAGUGGGGAAUAUUGCACAAUGGGCGCAAGCCUGAUGCAGCGACGCCGCGUGAGGGAUGACGGCCUUCGGGUUGUAAACCUCUUUCAGCAGGGAAGAAGCGCAAGUGACGGUACCUGCAGAAGAAGCGCCGGCUAACUACGUGCCAGCAGCCGCGGUAAUACGUAGGGCGCAAGCGUUGUCCGGAAUUAUUGGGCGUAAAGAGCUCGUAGGCGGCUUGUCACGUCGGGUGUGAAAGCCCGGGGCUUAACCCCGGGUCUGCAUUCGAUACGGGCUAGCUAGAGUUCGGUAGGGGAGAUCGGAAUUCCUGGUGUAGCGGUGAAAUGCGCAGAUAUCAGGAGGAACACCGGUGGCGAAGGCGGAUCUCUGGGCCGAUACUGACGCUGAGGAGCGAAAGCGUGGGGAGCGAACAGGAUUAGAUACCCUGGUAGUCCACGCCGUAAACGGUGGGCACUAGGUGUGGGCGACAUUUCCACGUCGUCCGUGCCGCAGCUAACGCAUUAAGUGCCCCGCCUGGGGAGUACGGCCGCAAGGCUAAAACUCAAAGGAAUUGACGGGGGGCCCCGCACAAGCGGCGGAGCAUGUGGCUUAAUUCGACGCAACGCGAAG